rnacentral:rRNA from 1 species
GACGAACGCUGGCGGCGUGCUUAACACAUGCAAGUCGAACGAAGAGCGAUGGAAGCUUGCUUCUAUCACUCUUAGUGGCGAACGGGUGAGUAACGCGUAAUCAACCUGCCCUUCAGAGGGGGACAACAGUUGGAAACGACUGCUAAUACCGCAUACGAUCUAAUCUCGGCAUCGAGGAUAGAUGAAAGGUGGCCUCUACAUGUAAGCUAUCACUGAAGGAGGGGAUUGCGUCUGAUUAGCUAGUUGGAGGGGUAACGGCCCACCAAGGCGAUGAUCAGUAGCCGGUCUGAGAGGAUGAACGGCCACAUUGGGGCUGAGACACGGCCCAGACUCCUACGGGAGGCAGCAGUGGGGAAUCUUCCGCAAUGGACGAAAGUCUGACGGAGCAACGCCGCGUGAGCGAUGACGGCCUUCGGGUUGUAAAGCUCUGUUAAUCGGGACGAAAGGCCUUCUUGCGAAUAGUGAGAAGGAUUGACGGUACCGGAAGAGAAAGCCACGGCUAACUACGUG